rnacentral:tRNA from 1 species
GAGGUCUUAGUUUAAUAAAAAUGUCCGUCUGUGGAACGGGAGUUACUUUUAAGUAGGCUUUC